UACGUAGGGGGCAAGCGUUAUCCGGAAUUAUUGGGUUUAAAGGGUGCGUAGGCGGACUGUCAAGUCAGCGGUAAAAUUGAGAGGCUCAACCUCUUCCCGCCGUUGAAACUGGUGGUCUUGAGUGGAUGAGAAGUACGCGGAAUGCGUGGUGUAGCGGUGAAAUGUAUAGAUAUCACGCAGAACUCCGAUUGCGAAGGCAGCGUACCGGCAUCCAACUGACGCUGAGGCACGAAAGCGUGGGGAUCAAACAGG
rnacentral:rRNA from 1 species